GCAACUAACUAUUUAUGUUGCAAUAUUUGCACAGAUUCGGUCAGUGGCCUAUGGUUAACAAUGAAAGAAUACUAGUGCUAUAAAUUCCAUACACGACCAGGCAUAUUCAACCCAAUUUUGCAUGGCGGAUGCCUAUUCCAGCAGUUUGCUGUAGAUACAUACAUCAAGAUUGAAAGCUCCAGACUGGAUUACAUCUGGCAUAAUCAAAAGAAAAUAAGGGCUGACCUAUACCAAGGCCUUCUAGACAACAUUCAAGCUGGAGAACACAAUGGAGAUGCGGUUGGAAAAUAG
rnacentral:rRNA from 1 species